UUUUUUAAGUUUUCAGUGGUUGGGGCCUGGGCUGCUUUGGUGGAUGUCUGUAAUGCCACUUGGCAUUAUGGGUGCUGGGAUUUGGCUUUUGAGUAGAUAGAUGCCAGGUGGGACUGCCACAGAAACCAGAUUUUCAAAAUCAGAAGCCAGCUCUUGGGCCGAGGUUUGCAGGAAAAUCCAGUUUAUGGCAAAAGGACAAAGCAAGCAUGCAUGGAGGAUAUUUGUAUAAAUGUGGCACCCACGUCAAGGGGAGAGGUGGAGAAGCGUGUCCCACACGGCCUGCAGUGACACACCAGAGGACGCUGUAAUGGUCACAAAAUGCAUGUUGAUGGCAAAAUGAGAUCCGUGACCCUGGCCUAGGAAACCAAAAAUUGCUACGAAGGACGUUACUGGGGCAACAGCUGAAAUUUGAGCAUGGUCUGUGGAUUAGAUAAUAGUAUCUAGUGCGUGUCAAGUUUCCUGAUUUUGAUAACUGUACCGUAAUUACAUGAGACAAUGUCCUUGUUUAUAGGAGAAACACUGUGAGGUAUGUAAUAAAAAAGGCAAGAGCUUGCAGUUUAUAUUCACAUGGUUUUAAAAUAUGAGAGGAGAGAGCACAAAUGAUAAAGCAAAGGGGGGGG